rnacentral:rRNA from 1 species
GCGGCGAACGGGUGAGUAACACGUGGGUGAUCUGCCCUGCACUCUGGGAUAAGCCUGGGAAACUGGGUCUAAUACCGGAUAUGAGCUCCUGUCGCAUGGCGGGGGUUGGAAAGGUUUACUGGUGCAGGAUGGGCCCGCGGCCUAUCAGCUUGUUGGUGGGGUAAUGGCCUACCAAGGCGACGACGGGUAGCCGGCCUGAGAGGGCGACCGGCCACACUGGGACUGAGACACGGCCCAGACUCCUACGGGAGGCAGCAGUGGGGAAUAUUGCACAAUGGGCGAAAGCCUGAUGCAGCGACGCCGCGUGAGGGAUGACGGCCUUCGGGUUGUAAACCUCUUUCAGCAGGGACGAAGCGAAAGUGACGGUACCUGCAGAAGAAGCACCGGCCAACUACGUGCCAGCAGCCGCGGUAAUACGUAGGGUGCGAGCGUUGUCCGGAAUUACUGGGCGUAAAGAGCUCGUAGGCGGUUUGUCGCGUCGUCUGUGAAAACCCGCAGCUCAACUGCGGGCUUGCAGGCGAUACGGGCAGACUUGAGUACUGCAGGGGAGACUGGAAUUCCUGGUGUAGCGGUGAAAUGCGCAGAUAUCAGGAGGAACACCGGUGGCGAAGGCGGGUCUCUGGGCAGUAACUGACGCUGAG